rnacentral:lncRNA from 1 species
CUUAUUGGUUUAUAAGGAGAAGAGUGAUUGAGUGGUGGGAGAAAACUGGCAGUUGUUACUAUGGUAAAGGGACUGCCUGUCAUAUUGUUUCUGACUUGCACGCAUGUGUGCAAAGGAAAAAGAAAUAUGUUACCCAAGAGGUCUCAUGGAGGAGUUACUCCUGCUCUGGCACAAAGGUUUUCGUGCCUUUUCAGCAGUGAAAUAAGAGGAGCCCCACAGCCUAAGUUAGCGAGAACGCAGGUGUGCUCCAGAAACAAAAAGGCACUCCAGUUUGAAGGGAGCAAGGGAUUUCUUUUCCUUCUUGGCUAACAGUCCUUCACCUGGCUUGAAGGUAAGCUGCGGAUGCCUCCCCUCUUUGCACCUGUGCUCCGAGUGGGGUUGUUGGGAGGUGAAUUCCCAUCUCCUGCAGCUGUCUGGCAUCAUCUGGGGCUACUGUGUUGCAGAGAAAGCAGAUGGCUCUCUGCUGGCUGUGGAAAGAAAAUCACCUGAGAGGGGAAAGGAAGAAGCAGCUUGAGAAACUGCAACCCGCAAAAGAAUUCAGAUGAAAAUGAGUAUGUGUGCCGAGAGGUUUAGCUAAACACUAUAAAAAUUGACUAGUACAUGAUAAAACUCUCCAAUAUGAAGAGAUCCAUGGGCUGUCUAGACCGACUUUUCUUUUUUUUUUUCCUUCUUAAAAGCAAACAGAACCACACAUAACUAAAUAAGUGCAAAAUUCACACAUGGAUGAUGCCAGAACGUAACAGCAUUGCAUGGAAUAAAUACUUCAGUAAGCUUGGUUCUGGUUUUCCU